rnacentral:rRNA from 1 species
GAUCAUGGCUCAGAUUGAACGCUGGCGGCAUGCCUUACACAUGCAAGUCGAACGGUAACGCGGGGCAACCUGGCGACGAGUGGCGAACGGGUGAGUAAUGCAUCGGAACGUGCCCAGUCGUGGGGGAUAACGCAGCGAAAGCUGUGCUAAUACCGCAUACGAUCUAUGGAUGAAAGCGGGGGACCGUAAGGCCUCGCGCGAUUGGAGCGGCCGAUGUCAGAUUAGGUAGUUGGUGGGGUAAAGGCCCACCAAGGCGACGAUCUGUAGCUGGUCUGAGAGGACGACCAGCCACACUGGGACUGAGACACGGCCCAGACUCCUACGGGAGGCAGCAGUGGGGAAUUUUGGACAAUGGACGCAAGUCUGAUCCAGCCAUUCCGCGUGCAGGAUGAAGGCCCUCGGGUUGUAAACUGCUUUUGUACGGAACGAAAAGGUUUCUAUUAAUACUAGGAGCUCAUGACGGUACCGUAAGAAUAAGCACCGGCUAACUACGUG